rnacentral:lncRNA from 1 species
UAGAUUUGUUGUCAGUUCUAGCUUUUUUGCAUGAAGAAUAAGUCCAUUAACUUGACAGAUUUGAAGCCUCUUCUAACUUCUUUGGAGUAGAUAUUCCCUACUGAAAGUUUUGGAUUUGAUUUGUUGUUCAAUUUGCUGAGAAGUCUUACUUGGGGACAGGUAAUUGACAACAGCAGAGAUGUUUCCUAUUCCUAGGAUUCUAAAUCUAAUUAUAACCCCAGUGUACUCACAGGAUUUUAAAAUUCUCUCCGAAAUAGGAAGGAAAUAUCCUGUUACUUUCUAAUGUUUGCUAAAAGUUGUCUUUAGAAAAGCUGAUCUAAGUUUUCAAGUAAUCUCUACCCCCAACAUGGGGCUCAAACCCAUGGCCCCCACAUCAAGAGUCACAUGCUCCUCCAACUGAACCAGCCAGGCGCCCCCUAGAAAAGCUGAUCUUAAUAGGUAUCUUCCUUUGUCAUGUGUCAUUAGCCUUUUGUCAACUUACAUUAGAGCUCUUAAAAAGAGAGAGGGAUGAGGCAUGGUGAAAAACCUGUUACUUUGAAAGAAAGUGAGAGGAAUAAUUAACUGUUUUUGCGGAGUUCACAGCCCCAAAAUUAAUCUAGAACCAACUAAUAGCACCAAUAAAAAUAUUUACUUAGGACUUCUUAUAUUACAGGAAAUGUUCUAAGCAUUUUACAUACAUUUUUCAUUUAAUUCAUAAGUCAUCACUGUGAGAUAACGUAUUUAUUUUGUCCUCAUUUUCCAGAUGAGGAAAUAAAUCCCUGGAAGGUUAAAUGACAGGUUAUAUAAGCUGGGGCAGAGGAAGUGGGAAAGAAGAACCUGAAUAAGAUGAGGAGGAGGGGAUCUUGAGUUUUAUUUGGGUGGAUGUAGGCACACUUUUUUUUCUUUUUUUGCUUAGACACCAAACAUUUCAGUUAUCAUAUUCAAAGGUAACAGCACUGAUUCACCCACUGAAAGUUGUUCACAGUAAUCAGGAUGAAUUUACUGUCUUUAGACAUCCUUAGUCUUUUCACUUUCUCCAGUACUGUCUGUGGAAGCUGGUUUGAGGAGAGGCUCAUUUGUUUGUGGUUAAGGAUAUUGUCUGUCCUAAGGGUAGAAAUGCCCCUUCUAGGGAUGGAGUCUUUAGUCUUAUUGGUUAGCCUCCUUAUAUUCCUCAAAACAUUUGGACCUGAUUGUUUUUGAGUAAUUGUUCCAAAAUUUUGGAUAUUUUCCCUCUGGAAAAUAUCCUAAGGUUUAAAAUUUCAUCUGAAUUUAAAAAGUUGUUAAAUUUUCUUUUUAAGGGAGGGUUUGGGGAGCAAUCAGGAAUUUGGGUUUCCUCUCAUGGAUAGAGAUAAAAUUAGCCAUUUUCCUCAAGAAAAGUGAUACUUCUGAAUCCCAGCUCUUCGUUAAUGAGAACUGGACUGUUUUCACUUGACCUCUACUUCCUGUUGGUGGGAAACAGAGGUGCUGUGAGAAAGAUUGCUGGAGAAGGGUUUCUAGAUCUCAGAAUAAGUUCAAGAGUCUGGCAAUAUUGUCAUUAGAAUAAUGGUCUUCAUAAGCACUAGUUUUCAUGAUCCUAAAGCUUCAUUCUUAACACCCUUUGAAAGGCUGUAAAGUAGGAAAGGCUAAACUGGGGAGGAGGAAAACUUAGUAGAUAAAUUACAUAGACCUUGAGGUGAUUCUGUGCUCAAGAAGCAGAGACGUGGAGUCACUGAAUGAAAAUGAAAGAACAGGCAGUGUCUACGGUCAGAACUGAAAGGUUUUAGUUUACCUAGUUAAUUCCUUAGAUUUACAUCUUAGUUCCCUCCUUAUCUUGCAUGUGCAUAUAAACUUAGGCUUACUGAGCCAUUUUAUUUUUCUCCCCAAAUAAGACUAAUUUUAUAGGAGACAUAGGGGCCACUGCAGCAGCUUAGCUGAGGAACGUAUGAGAAACUGUUCAUUUUCUGUCCCCUCCUGUCUUAGGCUGAUCUGUCCCUUGAUGUGCUACCUGCUUCUGCUACCGACCCAUACUGCAGACUUCUCAUUCAUCCCCAAGGCCUCCAAGCAAUGUCCAAUAGGGAAUCGACUCUAAAAGGAACCAGACCAGACCAGACCAGACCAAAAAGGUGUGCAGCCCUUUCAUUGUGGUGAUUGAGGGAAGGAAAGAAUGGGAGGGGGUAUACAUGUGUAGUGGAUGGAAGGGAAACAGACUGUCAAAUUACUAUAUCUCUUCAGUUUCUUUUAGAAUAGAAUUCUGCAACCAUACUAUCACUACUGUGUAAAUAUAGGGGAAGUUCAAGAUGGUGACCUUGAUUAGAAUAUGUCUGGAGAGGAAUAAAUGGAGUGUGUGAGAUAAGAGACCAUUGGUUAUGAAAGAUGUUGAAGUCCUGAAAUAAUGUGACCAUCUGAGGAAUUUUUUUAAGCCAGAGUUUAUAAAAAUAUCACCAAUACAGCCUGCCCCCUCACUGCCCGCCACAGGAGACUUCUUGGACUGGAGACAUUUGUUUAAUAAUAGCUUGUCUCUGAUAUUCCCAGUAGCUACCUCUCUGAGGAGAGGAUAGCAAACAAACGUUCAGGACAUCAUCCUACAAAGUUCCAGUAGCAGUGACGCCUACACGGAAGACUUGGAACUGCAAACAGAGGCUGGGGUCACCUCAGUGACAUCUGACGCCGUCCAACCACAAGUUCGAUUUUUGUUCUGUGGGGCGAGAAAGACUGUACUAAAAGACAAAAAUAAUUUCUUAUCUAUACU